AUAUAUAAAUUAAGCUUCUAACUUAAAUAAUAGUGGUUAAAUACCAUUAAUAUUUCUUUUAUUUAUAUAGUUUAUAUA
rnacentral:tRNA from 1 species